CGAACGCUGGCGGCACGCUUAACACAUGCAAGUCGAACGAGGUCCAUCCACUCGCAAGAGUGGUGAAGACCUAGUGGCGAACGGGUGAGUAACACGUGAGAAACCUGCCCCGAAGACCGGGAUAACUCACCGAAAGGUGAGCUAAUACCGGAUACCCUCAUGACGCUUCAUGGCAAUGUGAGAAAAUGGAUUCCGCUUCGGGAGGGUCUCGCGGCCUAUCAGCUUGUUGGUGAGGUAACGGCUCACCAAGGCGACGACGGGUAGCUGUUCUGAGAGGAAGAUCAGCCACACUGGGACUGAGACACGGCCCAGACUCCUACGGGAGGCAGCAGUGGGGAAUCUUGCGCAAUGGGCGAAAGCCUGACGCAGCGAUGCCGCGUGCGGGAAGACGGCCUUCGGGUUGUAAACCGCUUUCAGCAGGGACGAAAUUGACGGUACCUGCAGAAGAAGCUCCGGCCAACUACGUGCCAGCAGCCGCGGUAAGACGUAGGGGGCGAGCGUUGUCCGGAAUUAUUGGGCGUAAAGGGCUCCUAGGCGGUUCAGUAAGUCGACUGUGAAAAUCCAAGGCUCAACCUUGGGACGCCAGUCGAUACUGCUGUGACUCGAGUUCGGUAGAGGAGUGUGGAAUUCCUGGUGUAGCGGUGAAAUGCGCAGAUAUCAGGAGGAACACCAACGGCGAAGGCAGCACUCUGGGCCGAUACUGACGCUGAAGAGCGAAAGCGUGGGGAGCAAACAGG
rnacentral:rRNA from 1 species